UACGGAGGGGACUAGCGUUGUUCGGAAUUACUGGGCGUAAAGCGCGCGUAGGCGGAUUUGCAAGUCGGGGGUGAAAGCCCGAGGCUCAACCUCGGAACUGCCCUCGAUACUGCAAAUCUCGAGUCCGGGAGAGGUGAGUGGAAUUCCUAGUGUAGAGGUGAAAUUCGUAGAUAUUAGGAAGAACACCAGUGGCGAAGGCGGCUCACUGGCCCGGUACUGACGCUGAGGCGCGAAAGCGUGGGGAGCAAACAGG
rnacentral:rRNA from 1 species